CGACUUUGCAGAGCAGACCGGUAUCCACUUGCCAUGUAAGCGUAGCUGAGUUGUUGGUUUCGCCUGUGAUCGUUCGUGUGGUUCGAAGGAUUCUCCAGAUAAAGGGGACAGAAAUGUCCGGCGAAGCGUGCUUUAAUAACUAACACGAGGAGAGCCUUCCGAUGAAUUCUGAAUUUCUCAAUGAGCCAACGAAGUACUAGCGAACAACGUUAUUUAAGGUCGUGAGAUUUUAUCAAGGAGGCAAGGUAAUGAGUUUUAAACUUAUACACGUGAACGUAUGGUCGCAAGGUACGUUAAGCUGCGAAAAUUGCAUUUCUAAGGACUAAAGAAACAGGUUGAUGGAUGAUGAUGUCAAGGUCAUUUCAAGGACGUUCGUGCUUUUUUGCCCGACAUACGCUGUUUAAAAGAACUAGGUGAUCACCGCAUUCAGAGGUCUAUUCCCUUUAAGACUAUGCAUGUUCUUUUGGAACCAGUGUCUUUCACAAAAUACAGAAUGUGAAUAAUUA